rnacentral:lncRNA from 1 species
CUCAAUUUACCAGGCAAAGUUAGGCUUGCCCGCGCAAGAGAGCGAAUUCGGCUCGCCUGGCGUUGUAAAACCUUGAAAUCACAGGCACCGAGGCAAGUAGUAAACAAACCAAACGACAAGCUCCUGCCGAUUUCUUGCCAGGCCAGGCGAGACAAGCGGCCAGCAAUGAAUGCAAACAUGCCAUCUCACUCUCCGGCUCUCCGCUGGGGAUGUAGCUACGCGCUUCCCUUUCUCUGCCGCCCUCGUGCUCGCACGGCCGCACCGAGAGCUAAUGGGAGCCGAGCCGUCUCACCCAUGCGCCCUCGCCGAAGCCGACGAUAGCUGCGCCACCGUGCCCAGAGAAGGGAGAAUCAGUGUCGCUCGGUGCUCGUGCUCAUCACCGGAGCAACGUUAGCUUCCUGUCCAAAUCUUCCGCAACCAGCAAGCAAGAUAGUUUUUCUUCUGUUCAGAUCAGUGAAUGCCUGUACAUGAGUGUCGAUCUGCAUAUGGUUUUAAUAAUGAUCUGCUUCUCCUCUCGAAUUUGCAUGCCUUUUUGUCCUCUUCUAUGAAUGUGAAGUCUUACGGCCUUGUUUUGUAAGCUUGUUGUUCUGCGGUUAUGGUUAAUCGAUGGAUGCUUUGGAAAUUCCUCGUGGAUUCUUGCUAAGAUGCCUAGAUGCAUAUUGUUCGGGCAAUUCGGGAUUAUCCGAGCCCGAAUCUGAAUUUUCGGGUACCUGAAAUGUCGGGUUUCAAUUAUCUCGGGCAAACCUCAGGUUGCAGAACCCGAAUUUGUAAAAGCUCGAAAAACCCGACCCGAAAUUUUCUGGUAACCCGAAUACUCACCCCUAGUCACGGGCUGUUGCUCGCUGGACGGAUCGGGUCGAGCAACUGGCUGAAUUUAAUUUGUCUCUACUGCUUGGACGCGAAUAUCGUCUUCCGUGAGCCGCCUCCAUGCAACAUGCAUCUCUUUUCGUCUCUGGGUCGUUUUUUCCUUGAACUUGUAUCUAGCUGAAGAGGUUUAGACAAAGUUUUUUUUCUUCGCAGCAACUCUAUGUGUCAAUUUUAUACAAGAACAUGCUCAAAGUAACCCGAAUGAGUACGUUGUGCGAUCCACCACCCUAAAAAUCACUUGUAAUUAACCAUACUAAGCUUCUCCAAGAGUGUCAAAAACUAGUUUUCGACAUUACUAAAAAUUAUCGGGAGGAAAAAGAAACUCAUCACCCAAUGGUUUAAAAAAAACUAGAUCCAAAAAAAACUGAAUCAACUUGAUCUCUUGAGUUUAUUGGUCAGAAUCAGCUCUACUUUUCAACCAUGGAACAAUGUUUUUCUCUCACACAAAACAGCAGAAUGGGUAUUUUUCAGACGAAGAAACCAUCAGCCGAACAAGCCCAUUAAGUUUCACCACAUCAAACAAUCUGUGGACCCGGUAUUGGGUUUUCCACGUGAAAAAAAAAACUGACGGUUCUUUUCCUACUGGCGUUGCCCAUCUACUCCGGAAAAAAAGGAACGGUAACUUUUUUCUCCAAGAAAAAAGAAUGGCAUUUUUCUCUCAUCGAAUGUCUUUUUUUUUAUUGGGAGUGAGCGGGUGGGGUGUAAAAAUAGUACAAAUUGAUGUUAGAAUUGGACGCGCUAAAAAAUUAGGCACCAGUUUAGACAACUGUUGAAGCAAUAUUUUUUCUAUUAGUUCCUAAAAUCGAGUUUUAGGAAUAUAUUUUGGACACUCUUGGAGAUGAUCGGACUAAGCAAUGCGCUACCUCUAAAGCUACUGCACUAAGAUUCUUUUUUGGGAGACAAGCGAACAUAUUGACAUAUGUAGUGUUUCCUUACUCUCGCCACACAUGUAUUUUGGCAAGAUGAAGACAACCUCCUUAAUUAAGUUGGUCAUUCUCCACCUCAACUAGCAUGUAUCAUGGUGGGCUGAAAGUUCCAUCACUCACCACCGUUCUCUUGUCAUACAUGGGCUUUAAGAUUUAUUUAGAAUUUUUAGAAUUCCUAUAUAGGCCAAGUCCAAUGUUCCAGUAUUACUCAUCCUCAAACUUCGUUCUACACACCUUACAGUAAGGUCUUGUUUGGAUCUCAGAACUAUAUAAAAAGGUGAACUAAAAUUUACUCCAUGUUUCCUUCAAACCCACCUAUUUUAGACUAAAAGCAGUCAAAAGGACCCAAACUUCUGAGAAAUGAUGAGAGGGCACAUUCACCUUAACCCUUCGCGCACAUGAAAAAGAAAGGGCAAAAUGGAUUUUCCGUAGUAUCUCUUAGCUACAAGUCAUGUGAUCCAAGCAUGAUAUGAAGGAGACUAAUUCAUAGUUCAAGAAGAUUAACUGGACUCAUACGUACAAUAGUCGAAGGAGAUCAAGUAUAUACCAUUUCUGUAACGAUAUUUUGUCUAUGCUAGCUCCUGCUCUCUCCCAGCCUGGCGCCCUGGCCCAAUGAGGAACAGCAUCGACACUGUACUAGUGCUGCUAAUUGGCUUUGAUGAGGCGCCGCGGAUCGGUGAUGGUGCGGUUCCAGUGGCCGUCCGAGGCAUUGACCGUCGCCGCGUCCCUCCUGUGCUGCUCCAGCAUCGCCACCUGGCUCUCGCCCAGCGCGCAGAACCUGUCCCUCAGCUCCGGGGGCUCGAUCCGGUCGUGCACCGCCCACCACCGAGCGUGCGCCUCGUCGCUCGCGAACUGCCGCAGCGCCGGGACGUUCCAGUUGCAGUCGUAGUCGCGGUAGCACAGCCACGGCUUGAUGCCCAAGUAGUGCACGGCAUGCACCUCCGCCGGCUCCGCGCUCAGCACCCGCGCCUGCGCCGUCCGGACCUCCUCGGCCCAGACGUACUUGAGGAAGUUGGCGCGGCGCGGCAGGCGGUGCCACCACGUGAACACCUCGUUCAGGUACCCCUGGUCGCCGCCGUUGUAGGAGUCGAUGUCGUGGAUGCCCGACAUGAGCAGCUCGAAGGUGCAGUUGCACGGCUCCAGCACCAUCACGCCCGAGUUGAAGCGCACGCCACUGUUCACCGUCGCGCUCAGCUCGGACGCCUCCUCGAACAGGAAGUCCAUGUCGCGCAGCACCAGCAGGUCGGCGUCCAGGAACACCACCUUGUCGUAGUGCGUCAGCUGCCACAGCCGGAACUUGCUGUAGUUCCACUCGUUGUAGGUGUCCCGCGCCGCGCGCGGGUUACGGAUGCGCGGGGCCGGGCGCACCUGCCACCCCGCCGUGGCGAGGGCGGCGCGGUGCUCGGCCCCCACGUUCUCCGCGUCCACCAAGGCCACCAGGUCGCGCGUGGACCCCGACUGCCGGAUGCUCUGCGCCAGCGCAAUGGCGCCGCAGACGUAGGCGUCGGCCGAGUGCAGCACGGUGACGUAGGCCUGCCUACCGAUGCUUGAUCUGGGCGGCGUCGCACCUGGUUGUCCAGGUGGCGGCGGCCGGAGAGAAGGGACGGCGAGCUGGCAGGAGCCCACGGGCAGGUCGAGGCGGUGUCGGAGGUAGGCGGCGUCGGGGCUGUAGAGCCAGGCGUGCGCAUGGCGCGAGAGGAGGUGCUUGCAGGGGAAGAGAUUGGGUAGUGGAAGGCACUUGGGCUCGCUCAGGAUCAACACCAUACCAGCCUUGGGAGUACUUGAGCUGCUGCCGUGGAGGGCGAGCUUGGCGGCGGAGAGCUGGAGGUGGAGCCUGCGCACGUCCCUGGACCAGCCUUGGCGGCGGCAGGGGAGCUUGACGGCGACGAGAUCGAAAUCGUGAACCGCGGGAUCGGGGUCGGGGAGGGAGGGGCAGCUACUUCUGUUGCUGUCCUCGUCGACCCAGUUCGGGUAGAGGGCUUCCCAGGUGACUGCGUCCGCGGCAGGCGCCAGGCUCACCGCCCGGACGUCGGCGGCCGGCAACGUGCUCCUCCAGCGCGCCACCUCCGACGAGUUGAAGUUGAGCAGGCCCACUCUGACGAUGCCACUGCCAGUGUCAUCAUUGCCGCUGGAUGACGAGAGGCUCCUGGCGACGCUCUCCCACUGGAUGUCCCACUCGCUGUCCGCCGCGUACGGUCUAGCAGAGAAAACCUCCCCCUCCUCGGAGGCUGCUACUGCCUCUGACUCCUGACGAUCAUGAGGUGAUGAUGACGGUGCUUCCGAAGAGGUUGUUGGGAUCUCGCCACUUGGCGUAGAAGAUGAUACUCUAGCAGCAGGAGGAGCAUCCCCGAGGGACACUGGAAUGGCCCGUGGCAGUACUGCCAAUUGGACGACGACGCAGCAGCCGCCGUUGCCGCGGACGAGCAGCGCCACGAUGGCGCACCCGAAGAACAGAAAGAUCACCAGCAGCUUGUAGAUCCCACUCUUCUUCCGUACGCCGCCGUUCAUGUCUCUGCGCAGGUGAUGAAGGAAGCACUCAAGUGAUGAGAAAUCGCACAAGGAAAGAAAUUAGAGAGAUGUGAUGAGAAAUGCUACAGCAACGGAGCGAUCGAUCGGAACCGAGAAUGGGCGCAGGCAGGAAGUGCAGCCAAACCAAAAUCGAUAUGCAGUAUAGAUGCUUAAUUUGAUCGCACAAUUUGUACUCUACUAGCUGCUUACCUGUCGAUCGCUGGUCGGAGCUUAUAGCUGCAUGCCCUCCAAGAAGGCCGAGGCAGGCAGAGGGCCUUCCUUCAGGUACGCUGCACGUAUAUCCUUUGACCCUAUACGAUGUAUUCCAAAACACAGAAUAUAUGGAGAUAGCUGACUAACUGCGUAAAAAACGCGUGCUUUAUACUGUACGACUACAGACAGGAAAUUGAAAUAGAUCGCGUUGGCUAGGUCAGCUGGUUCCUAGUUAGCUUGUACGUAUAGUACAACUGCAGCAGACGCCAUCUGGAGAAUCCUCAUGGAGUGAAAAUUCUCUCUCUUCUCUGAAAGAUGAGAGGAAGCCAUUUGUUUUACGAAUGAUGGACGGAGCGCAAAUAAUCAUACACUAGUAAAAAAAAUCUUAAAAUUAAUACUGAUGAGCUAGCUAAGUUCAUCGAUCGAUCAUAUCGGGCAGCGGAAAAUUAAUGAUGGAUGUUCCAUCGAUUGAUCCGUCGCCUUGUCCGAUCAAAAUGACCCUAUCUGUUUGGUUGCAUACGGCAACUAGUUAUUUGUGCGGCCCCGAGUUUUAAGGUAAAUCAAGCUCAGGUUGGCACCUACCGCUACCACAACUUUUUUAUUUUAAGAGGGAAAAAAUGGAAACUUUCGUUUUUAAGGCCCUGUUUGGCACGGCUCCACUCCUAAACUCCAGCAACUCCAUCAAAAAAUUCAGCCAAACACUCCAACUCCAAAACUUCAUGGAGUUGCCAACUCCAUGGAGCUGUAGUGCAAAUGGAGGUGGAGUUUUGGAGCACCUCUUUUGCUGCUCCAGAAACCUCUCUUUCGAACCUUCUCGUGGAGUUGGUGGGUAAUUACCCACCAAUGCCACUGGUUACACAAAAAAACGUUUCAUUCUAUUCUCCCGAGCCCCACUCGCCGCCGGAGCCCUGCCCGUCGCCCGUCGCCGCCCGCCGCUGCCCGUCGCCCGUCGCCGUCCGCCGCCGCGCCCGUCGCCCGCCGCUGCCUGUCGCCGCCUGCCGCCCGUCGCCGCCCGCCGCCCGUCGCCGCCCGCCGCCGCCCCUCGCCACCCGCCGCCCCGUCGCUACCCACCCCGCCGCCCGUGGAGGGUCUCCCGUGUGCGGCACAGUGCAGUGGAAAAAGGGGAAGAAGAAGAUGGGAUAGAGAGGAUGACAAGUGGGGCCUUAAUUGGGGGGCAACAAUGGCAAUCCACACUGAAAUCGAUCUUUUUUGGAGCUGAGAGCACCCAUCUAGCCAAACACCUCAUUUUUGUUCUGGAGUUUUGAAGCGGAACUGGCUCCAUGUGGAGUUCUGGAGUGAAGCAGCUUCACCCGGAGUUGGAGCCAUACCAAACAGGACCUAAGUUUCCUACGUGCCUCAUGCUUGUUGAUGGGAAAUUGAGACAAAUGCCUCACCACCAUCUCGUCCAUAACCGUGCCGACAUGACAAAUCAGAUCCAUUGGUAUAUUCAAAUCAUCAGCCUACUACGCCGAAUCCAGUGUUGCACUAGUUCCCGGAUGUUGUCCUAAUAGUGUUCAUCAUGUCAUCAGCACAAUAGUUCAAAGUAUA